AACGCACAUUGCGCUCCCCGGUAUUCCGGAGAGCAUGCCUGUUUGAGCAUCAUUUGAACGCAUCAUGCCGUCUCUGGCUGGGGCUGGUUUCCCCGGCCUUGCGGAGGGCAUGGAGUUGGAAGUUUUCGAAGCCCCUUGGGCCGCGAAAUCUUCUGAAAACCAUGGUGCAUCCCCGUCCCGAGGGACCCACGGAUAGCUGCGCAACAAGGGACUCGUUUUUCUUUUUACGCAUGCGUCUGCCUGGGUGAACCUCUGUUGGGCGAGGAGUGCGCUGUCCAGGCUGGCGAGGUUCUCGAAACCACGGCACCCCGGGCACAAUUCGACGGCAAGGGCGCGAGGCCAGCUGGCUUCGCCGCCGUUGCCCGAAAAACAUGGUCUCAAAUCAGGCAGGAAAACCCGCUGAACUUAA
rnacentral:misc_RNA from 1 species